CUGCUGUUACAAGACAGAAGCAAAGCUGCUCUGCGCGGCACCUAGGUUGCUGGGGAGACAACCCUAUCUUUCCUAAUGGGAACCCCAUCCAUCCCUUCAUACCGCUGUAUUGCUGUGCAAUUUGCAGAAUCCAACAUCCAGAGGCUGCAGAGGUACCAACAGUCCAUUUCUCAGACACAAUCCUUGGAGGAGAAUAUUAGCCCAGUGCCUUCAGUAAGCAAGAAGGAUUUCACACAUCUGUAAUGUACAUGGUCACCCUGGAUCUUUUCCUUGUCUCCCAAACUGGGGAGCUGGGGUAGGUGGGAUACUAAACAAUAUUCAGACUUUGUCAGUACCACCGUCUGCUCCGAAAGCUCUACACCAGCUGCUUGUCCCCUGCAACACUGGAUGAAACCUUUCCAGGGCUCCAUGCUGGAUCAUCUAGUGGUCAUAUUAGGGCAGCCUAAGAGGUAAGGAAAGCCCUUCUUACUAUCCAAGAUUGCUGUCUUCUCUGCUAGAUUACAGCUGCAAAGAGGAAAGCUGCUUCUAAGCUUGGAUUGUGCAUAUGAUAGUAAAAAGCUCAGUUGCUAUCAUUGCUCAUGAAGGAUGACUAAUGUGAAACUACUACUCUUGAGCUGCCCAGUAGGUCCACAUUUCAGCUUUGUUCAGUAAAGCGCUUAAGCAUGUGCUUAAAAUUAAGUGUGCUGCUGACUGGAGGCCUUGGACAAUAAAUAUGCUACUGGAAAAGUA